GCGCUAUAGCUCAGUUGGCAGAGCGUUGCACUAGUAAUGCAAAGGUCAUGAGUUCAAAUCUCG
rnacentral:tRNA from 11 species